UCGGCAUGCUAUGCCGCUUAGGAGCGCCAGCGUGAGUAACGAGCUGAAGACGAGAGUCCUGCGGCUAUCCGCGCAGAGCCCCGGGGAGCAGCAGGAGUGGACGGAGAUCCUGAGCGCCGCAGUCAAGGCUCUGAAAGCGGGGCAGGUCGUGGCCGUUCCCACUGACACCAUCUACGGUCUGGCCUGUGUGGCGUCAGGAGAGUUUAUGAUCUCAAAGGAAGGAAUGGAGACAAUCCUCUAGCCAUCUGUGUUGGAGAAGUACAGGACAUUACAGGGGGAAUUACAGCGACAGGCUGUCACUUUCAUUUGAGAAGACUAUGGAGUUUUGAGGCAUUCGGCUUGGGAGAAAACAUCAUUUGGACAAACAGCAAUAUCCAGAAGGAAGAAAUAGAAGGCCUUGUGUUACCCUUUAAAUUGUUAACUAGAAAACACAUUGUGAUUAUUUUGAAAUAUUUGAGACAAUCUAAGCAGCUCUUAUAAAAGGUGAAAAGUCCUCCGCCUCACUGGAUGGGCGGUUCAAGGGACUCCUUGACGAGCAACCUGAAGGAGCAAUGGCAGAUGCUGACUCAAUUCAAGAAGCUCUGGAAGAUAUGGAGGAUAGAUGCUACAAAACAAGAGACAGUCUCAAACAAGCUGUCCACAUGACAAGAGAAGAUUUCACACAAGCUGUAGACGAAUUGCAGCAGGAGCUGGAUGAAAUGAUGAGCAAACAUGAACCAAAACAACCACACCCAAGCCCACAUGAUUAUGUCCAGCAGAAACAAUACAAGCAAGUAGCUGGGACACUGGUCAUGCAUGACACAGAAGAUCCAGAAGACCAGUUUCAAGUUCUUCAAGCACAAAGACGAGGAGGAGGAG